rnacentral:rRNA from 1 species
AGCAGCCGCGGUAAUUCCAGCUCCAAUAGCGUAUAUUAAAGUUGUUGCAGUUAAAAAGCUCGUAGUUGAAUUUCGGGAUCAAUAUGUUGGUCGUGCCUUGGUACGUACUGGCAUUAUUGGUUUCUACCUUCUGAAGAACCUCGAUGUCAUUAAUUUGGUGUCUUGGGAAAUCAGGACUGUUACUUUGAAAAAAUUAGAGUGUUUAAAGCAAGCUCGCGCUUGAAUACAUUAGCAUGGAAUAAUGAAAUAGGACGUUUGAUUCUAUUUUGUUGGUUUCUAGGAUCGACGUAAUGAUUAAUAGGGAUAGUUGGGGGCAUUAGUAUUCAAUUGUCAGAGGUGAAAUUCUUGGAUUUAUUGAAGACUAACUACUGCGAAAGCAUUUGCCAAGGAUGUUUUCAUUAAUCAAGAACGAAAGUUAGGGGAUCGAAGACGAUCAGAUACCGUCGUAGUCUUAACCAUAAACUAUGCCGACUAGGGAUCGGAUGAUGUUAAUUUUUUAAUGACUCAUUCGGCGCCUUACG